ACUCUCUAGGAAAUCCAAUGGUAUUCCAGCAAAAUUUCUUUUUAAGCACUGAAAGGGAUUUUACAGAUCCUCUGCCGCAAAUUUGUUGUUUCCCCCACUUAUGUGGCUGACUGCAUAAAUAUAGAAGUUUUUGGCAUCCCCGACCUCGAUCUGUUAUUACUGCCAUUAAAAGAAGAAUGCUAAAUUUCAUUUCCCAGCUUAUGCAAAGGUAUGUUAUGCUUCUUUCAUUUCCCAAAGUCUACCAUCUCUUCGAUCUUUCCGAAGAAACCAGAAAGCACAAGCACAUGAAAAUGAAAUCCAGGAGCUUCAAUCGGCUGCAGAGAAGGCCAAAACCCCCGCUCAACUUCACAACAACAAAGAAGGUGGUGUAUGCAAGGUGAACAAAGAAACUGGAUAUAAUCUUUGUGAUCAGACUUCGUCGUGUGCUCCGAUGAUUAGCGGACCUUUACCUCACCAAGCUACAUCUGUAGGUACUAUCACAGCAGGCCAACAGCCAGGUCUGCCCAUCCCACAGCUCAUCAACAGAAUUGGAAGAAACCGAGCUACUGAGCUAUCCCUAACCAUAACUGCAGAAGACAACUCCCAGUUGCCUCUUGGAACUACUGAACAAGUUGAAGAAACAGCUGGCUUUACUGCUCCAGUCAUGUUUCAGCUCCCUUCCCUUGAGAUGACAAUCCCAUUGGUGGACACUUUCCUCGCUUUGUCAGUUCAGAUCCCGUUCAGUUAUAUACCCGUGGAGAAAUGAAACAAGUUUGAAGGAAAGAGCGUCCAGACCUUGAUGCUUCAAUUGAUUCCCCCUGUCGUACUAACAGUAAUCCAAACAAUUGAAGCUGUUGUGUUCCUGGCUGGACGCUACCUGGUGAUUCUAUGUCUGUUCCUUCGAAGAUUCUUUGCAAACUAUUAAACCAAGGAUCCUUUGUAGAUUGCAGAAUAGCUUGCUCCAAUGGUACCUCUCUAACACCAGAAAAGAACACAAAAAUUGAUCUUCUUUAUGCUACCUAAACUAACAUCUUAUAUUUAGAACAUCAUUUUUAUGCAGGAUGAAACAGGAU